rnacentral:rRNA from 1 species
UGGGUAGUCCGCACGAGCGCACCUUACCUUAGUUGCUAACGAGUCAAGUCGAGAACCCUAGGGGAACUGUCGGUGAUAAACCGGAGGAAGGUGGGGAUGACGUCAAGUCCUCAUGGCCUUUAUGUCCAGGGCUACACACGUGCUACAAUGGGCGGUACAGAGGGUCGCAAACCCGCGAGGGGGAGCCAACCCCACAAAACCGCCCUCAGUUCGGAUUGCAGUCUGCAACUCGACUGCAUGAAGCUGGAAUCGCUAGUAAUCGUGGAUCAGCACGCCACGGUGAAUACGUUCCCGGGCCUUGUACACACCGCCCGUCACAUCAUGAAAGCUGGUUGUACUAGAAGUCAUCGAGCUAACCGCAAGGAGGCAGAUGCCCAAGGUAUGACUGGUGAUUGGGGUGAAGUCGUAACAAGGUAGCUGUAGGAGAACCUGUGGCUGGAUCACCUCCUUUCU